CAUCCGCUGAGGGUGGAAGCGGCCCCCGCAGACGCUCGGCAGGUGUCUUGAUAUUAUCAUCUGCUGAGGGUGGAAGGGCAGUGAGCUGACGCUCGGAAGGUGUCUUGAGAUUAUCAUCCGCUGAGGGUGGAAGGGGAUGGAGCAGACACUCGGCACGUGUCUUGAGAUUAUCAUCCGCUGAGGGUGGAGCUGAGGGUAGAGCUGAGGGUGGAAGGGGAGUGAGCAGACACUCGGGAGGUGUCUUGAGAUUAUCAUCCGCUGAGGGUGGAAGGGGAGUGAGCACACACUCGGGAGGUGUCUUGAGGCUCAGGGAGUUAUCAGUUAUAGAAUGUUGUUGAGUUGGAGGAGGUGGCUGGUGGCCCAUCCUGUUUUUUAAAGUUUCAGCUGUGAGGUA
rnacentral:lncRNA from 10 species